rnacentral:tRNA from 1 species
UCCUCGUUAGUAUAGUGGCCAGUAUCCCCCGCCUGUCACGCGGAGACGGGGUUCCAUUCCCUGGCGGGGAG